AUACGGAGGAUCCGAGCGUUAUCCGGAUUUAUUGGGUUUAAAGGGUGCGUAGGCGGGACUGUAAGUCAGGGGUGAAAUACUGCAGCUUAACUGUAGCAUUGCCUUUGAAACUGCCGUUCUUGAGUACAGUUGAGGUAGGCGGAAUGUGGUGUGUAGCGGUGAAAUGCAUAGAUAUACCACAGAACGCCGAUUGCGAAGGCAGCUUACUAAGCUGUUACUGACGCUGAGGCACGAAAGCGUGGGGAUCAAACAGGAUUAGAUACCCUGGUAGUCCACGCUGUAAACGAUGAUUACUGGUUGUUAGCGAUAUAUAGCUAGUGACUGAGCGAAAGCAUUAAGUAAUCCACCUGGGGAGUACGUCGGCAACGAUGAAACUCAAAUGAAUUGACGGGG
rnacentral:rRNA from 1 species